UACGUAGGGUGCAAGCGUUAAUCGGAAUUACUGGGCGUAAAGCGUGCGCAGGCGGUGAUGUAAGACAGGUGUGAAAUCCCCGGGCUUAACCUGGGAAUGGCAUUUGGGACUGCAAGGCUGGAGUGCGGCAGAGGAGACUGGAAUUCCUGGUGUAGCAGUGAAAUGCGUAGAUAUCAGGAGGAACACCGAUGGCGAAGGCAGGUCUCUGGGCUGACACUGACGCUCAUGCACGAAAGCGUGGGGAGCAAACAGG
rnacentral:rRNA from 1 species